AAAUAACCUAGCAAGAGGCCUGCUGGAGGGCAGCAGGGGAAAAUGGAAGACCCGAAUCUUUAGACAAGUCUAUUUUCAGACUCGCUCCUUUCUCUACCAAACCUGAGCUGCUUCCGAUUCUCCUUCUCUCUUCCCCAAACUGGGCUCUAACCCCCGUCCUCUGAAUCCAUGCCCGGGGAAGGUGGCUACGGGCACUGGCCCUGUCGGGGGCUGCCUACUCACCCGCCGCGGGAGGGGCCAGGUGGCUUUUUUGGGGACUGAGCCCCUCACUCUGGCGCCCAGGCUACAUUGCAGUGGCGCGGUCUUGGCUCAGUGAAGCCUCGACCUGCCGGACUAAAGCAGUUCUCCCGCCUCAGCCUCCCCAAGUAGCCGGGACUACAGGUGCACGCCACCACACCCGGCUAAUUAUUAUGGUCUUUAAAUUUAAAAAAAAAAUUUUUUUUAGACGGAGUCUCGCUCUAUCCCCCAGGCUGGAGUGCAUUGGCGCAGUCUCAGCUGCAACCUCCGCCUCCUGGUUCAAACGAGUCUCCUGCCUCAGCCUCCUGAGCAGAUGGGAUUACGGGCGCCCGCCACCAUGCCCGGCUAAUUUUUGUGUUUUUAGUAGAGAC
rnacentral:lncRNA from 1 species